AUGAACAUAUUUCAGGUCUAUUUCCACACUAAGGUGUUCUACCUAAACAUUAACAGCAACGGCAACAUUUGCCUUGACAUUCUCAAGGAACAGUGGAGCCUGGCUUUGACCAUAUCAAAGGUCCUCCUAUCAAUCUGUUCGUUGCUGACGGACCCCAACCCCGAUGAUCCUCUGGUGCCUGAGAUCUCUCACAUGUACAAGACUGAUCGGGCCAAGUAUGAGUCCACGGCAUGCUCCUGGACACAGAAGUAUGCCAUGGGUGGAUGUAUAGGCAAGCAAUGUCGAGAGAGGUCAUUUGAACCUUCAUUUGUAAAUAUGACUGCUGGUGCUGCUGAUGAUAUCCAUAUCGACAUGCCCACGCUGUCUGACGAGGAUAAAGAUAAGUCUGCUCUGCACAAGUGCAACAUGGCUGGAAACCUUGGUGUUGAGACUCUCCGUGGGUUGUAUCCAGUUGAGUCUAUUUCAACGGCUGAGAAGGUCUUCAACCAGGAUUUCUACUUCAAGCGAACCAUGAAAUACGUGGGAGAACCCAUGAUCCACAUGGAGUCUAUUGCUUCCUCUCCGGCUGAAUCUACUAGCACUAGAAAUGAAUCAGUGUUGAAGGUUUCUCUUGACCACGGCAAAGCAUCCGGUGUGAUCGAGUCGCAUGGUUUACCUUAG
rnacentral:rRNA from 1 species